rnacentral:rRNA from 1 species
UACGGAGGGGACUAGCGUUGUUCGGAAUUACUGGGCGUAAAGCGCACGUAGGCGGAUUUGUAAGUCAGGGGUGAAAUCCCGGGGCUCAACCUCGGAACUGCCUUUGAUACUGCAAAUCUCGAGUCCGGAAGAGGUGAGUGGAAUUCCUAGUGUAGAGGUGAAAUUCGUAGAUAUUAGGAAGAACACCAGUGGCGAAGGCGGCUCACUGGACUGGUAUUGACGCUGAGGUGCGAAAGCGUGGGGAGCAAACAGG